rnacentral:tRNA from 1 species
GGGGAUUUAGCUCAGUGGUAGGGCGCUUGCCUAGCAAGCGCAAGGCCCUGGGUUCGGUUCCCAGCUCCG